rnacentral:rRNA from 1 species
UACGUAGGGCGCGAGCGUUGUCCGGAAUUAUUGGGCGUAAAGAGCUCGUAGGCGGCCUGUUGCGUCCGCUGUGAAAUCCCGGGGCUCAACCCUGGGCGUGCAGUGGAUACGGGCAGGCUGGAGGCAGGCAGGGGAGAACGGAAUUCCCGGUGUAGCGGUGAAAUGCGCAGAUAUCGGGAGGAACACCGAUGGCGAAGGCAAUCCCCUGGGCCUGCACUGACGCUCAUGCACGAAAGCGUGGGGAGCAAACAGG